AGCCUACUGUAUCUGUGCUGAGGUUUCAACACACACCAAACCACAAGUGCUGACGAAACUACCAAGAUAAGUGAAGCG
rnacentral:pre_miRNA from 1 species